CCAAUAGCGUAUAUUAAAGUUGUUGCAGUUAAAAAGCUCGUAGUUGAACUUCGGGAUCAAUUGAUUGGUCAUGCCUUGGUAUGUACUGUUCAUAUUGGUUCUCACCUUCUAAUGAACCAUAAUGUCAUUUAUUUGAUGUUAUGGGGAAUUAGGACUGUUACCUUGAAAAAAUUAGAGUGUUUAAAGCAGGCUCACGCUUGAAUACAUUAGCAUGGAAUAAUGAAAUAGGACAUCGCAUUCUAUUUUGUUGGUUUCUAGGAUCGAUGUAAAGAUUAAUAGGUAUAGUUGGGGGCAUUAGUAUUCAAUUGUCAGAGGUGAAAUUCUUGGAUUUAUUGAAGACUAACUACUGCGAAAGCAUUUGCCAAGGAUGUUUUCAUUAAUCAAGAACGAAAGUUAGGGGAUCGAAGACGAUCAGAUACCGUCGUAGUCUCAACCAUAAACUAUGCCGACUAGGGAUCGGAUGAUGUUGAUUUUUUAAUGACUCAUUCGGCACCUUACG
rnacentral:rRNA from 1 species